UACGGAGGGUGCAAGCGUUGUUCGGAUUUAUUGGGCGUAAAGGGCGUGUAGGCGGUUCGUUAAGUCUGAUGUGAAAGCCCCGGGCUCAACCCGGGAAGUGCAUUGGAAACUGGCGAACUUGAGUACGGGAGAGGGCAGUGGAAUUCCUAGUGUAGGAGUGAAAUCCGUAGAUAUUAGGAGGAACACCGGUGGCGAAGGCGGCUGCCUGGACCGAUACUGACGCUGAGACGCGAAAGCGUGGGUAGCAAACAGG
rnacentral:rRNA from 1 species